CCAUGAGUUUAACGGCCGCGGUAUUUUGACCGUGCAAAGGUAGCGCAAUCACUUGUCUUUUAAAUAAAGACCCGUAUGAAUGGCAAAACGAGGGCUUAGCUGUCUCCUUUUUCAGGUCAAUGAAAUUGAUCUUCCCGUGCAGAAGCGGGAAUUUUUACAUAAGACGAGAAGACCCUAUGGAGCUUUAGACACCAAGACAGGCCACGUCAAAUUACCCUAGUAAAGGAUUGAACUAAACGGACUCUGUCCUAAUGUCUUUGGUUGGGGCGACCACGGGGAAACACAAAACCCCCGCGUGGAUUGGGAGCACCCUUACU
rnacentral:rRNA from 1 species